GUAUUCAAGUUUAUUUUUGGUCUUCCAAAAAUUUGAUGUUUUCAGGCUUGCUUCGAGAAAAAGCAAGAAAAGUUUGUCAAGAUGAAAGAAAAAAACUCUGGCAGCGCCGGAAGGAAAGGCAGAGAGUUUUUCUUGUCUCUUCUUUCCCUCCACAGAGAAAAAACGGUAAAGGAUUCUCCCCCAGCAAACUGCCAAAGCAAACAUGUCAAUGAUGUGCACACGAAGGUGGAUAUGGAUUUGAACCAUCCAUAUGCAAAGGAAAAUGGACAAUUGUUAAUGAUCCUUCCGCAGGUUCACCUACGGAAA
rnacentral:misc_RNA from 1 species